UCCGAUCACAAGGUGGGCCCUCUAAGGC
rnacentral:sRNA from 1 species